UCAGUCGGCCGGACGGCCGCUUCCGCAAACGCCGAAAGGCCGCGGGGGAGGAAAGUCCGGGCUCCAUCGACAUGCGGUGCCGGAUAACGUCCGGCGGGGGCAACCCCAGGGAAAGUGCCACAGAAAGCGAACCGCUCCGAACUCCGAAAGGAGGCCGGCAGCAAGGGUGAAAAGGUGCGGCAAGAGCGCACCGCGGGUCCGGCAACGGAACCGGCAUGGUAAACCCCACCGGGAGCAAGACCGAAUAGGGACGGCAUCAGCGGGCCGUUCGCGACAGCGAUAACGCCGCAGGGCCGAUGUCAGGCCAGCCGUCCGGGUAGGUUGCAUGAGGUGGCGCGCGAGCGCCAUCCCAGAGGAAUGGCCGUCACGUAUCGUCUCGCGCGAGCGGGCGAUGCCCUACAGAACCCGGCUUACAGGCCGGCUGAUAUC
rnacentral:RNase_P_RNA from 1 species